GCGUGCGCUGACGACACCGGCGGCGCGCAGCUUCGCGAGCUGCUGGCUCGUCGCGGGGAUCGUCGCCCCGGUGCGCUCA
rnacentral:tRNA from 1 species